rnacentral:rRNA from 1 species
UUUAUGGAGAGUUUGAUCCUGGCUCAGAGUGAACGCUGGCGGCGUGCCUAAUACAUGCAAGUCGAACGAUGAAGCUUCUAGCUUGCUAGAGUGCUGAUUAGUGGCGCACGGGUGAGUAACGCAUAGGUCAUGUGCCUCUUAGUUUGGGAUAGCCAUUGGAAACGAUGAUUAAUACCAGAUACUCCCUACGGGGGAAAGAUUUAUCGCUAAGAGAUCAGCCUAUGUCCUAUCAGCUUGUUGGUAAGGUAAUGGCUUACCAAGGCUAUGACGGGUAUCCGGCCUGAGAGGGUGAACGGACACACUGGAACUGAGACACGGUCCAGACUCCUACGGGAGGCAGCAGUAGGGAAUAUUGCUCAAUGGGGGAAACCCUGAAGCAGCAACGCCGCGUGGAGGAUGAAGGUUUUAGGAUUGUAAACUCCUUUUGUUAGAGAAGAUAAUGACGGUAUCUAACGAAUAAGCACCGGCUAACUCCGUGCCAGCAGCCGCGGUAAUACGGAGGGUGCAAGCGUUACUCGGAAUCACUGGGCGUAAAGAGCGCGUAGGCGGGAUAGUCAGUCAGGUGUGAAAUCCUAUGGCUUAACCAUAGAACUGCAUUUGAAACUACUAUUCUAGAGUGUGGGAGAGGUAGGUGGAAUUCUUGGUGUAGGGGUAAAAUCCGUAGAGAUCAAGAGGAAUACUCAUUGCGAAGGCGACCUGCUGGAACAUUACUGACGCUGAUUGCGCGAAAGCGUGGGGAGCAAACAGGAUUAGAUACCCUGGUAGUCCACGCCCUAAACGAUGGAUGCUAGUUGUUGGAGGGCUUAGUCUCUCCAGUAAUGCAGCUAACGCAUUAAGCAUCCCGCCUGGGGAGUACGGUCGCAAGAUUAAAACUCAAAGGAAUAGACGGGGACCCGCACAAGCGGUGGAGCAUGUGGUUUAAUUCGAAGAUACACGAAGAACCUUACCUAGGCUUGACAUUGAGAGAAUCCGCUAGAAAUAGUGGAGUGUCUGGCUUGCCAGACCUUGAAAACAGGUGCUGCACGGCUGUCGUCAGCUCGUGUCGUGAGAUGUUGGGUUAAGUCCCGCAACGAGCGCAACCCCCUUUCUUAGUUGCUAACAGGUCAUGCUGAGAACUCUAAGGAUACUGCCUCCGUAAGGAGGAGGAAGGUGGGGACGACGUCAAGUCAUCAUGGCCCUUACGCCUAGGGCUACACACGUGCUACAAUGGGGUGCACAAAGAGAAGCAAUACUGCGAAGUGGAGCCAAUCUUCAAAACACCUCUCAGUUCGGAUUGUAGGCUGCAACUCGCCUGCAUGAAGCUGGAAUCGCUAGUAAUCGCAAAUCAGCCAUGUUGCGGUGAAUACGUUCCCGGGUCUUGUACUCACCGCCCGUCACACCAUGGGAGUUGUGUUUGCCUUAAGUCAGGAUGCUAAAUUGGCUACUGCCCACGGCACACACAGCGACUGGGGUGAAGUCGUAACAAGGUAACCGUAGGUGAACCUGCGGUUGGAUCACCUCCUUUCUAGA